rnacentral:rRNA from 1 species
AUUGAACGCUGGCGGCAUGCCUUACACAUGCAAGUCGAACGGUAACAGGUCUUCGGAUGCUGACGAGUGGCGAACGGGUGAGUAAUACAUCGGAACGUGCCCGAUCCUGGGGGAUAACGAGGCGAAAGCUUUGCUAAUACCGCAUACGAUCUACGGAUGAACGCGAGGGAUCUUCGUGCCUCGCGCGGACGGAUCGGCCGAUGGCAGAUUAGGUAGUUGGUGGGAUAAAAGCUUACCAAGCCGACGAUCUGUAGCUGGUCUGAGAGGAUGAUCAGCCACACUGGGACUGGGACACGGCCCAGACUCCUACGGGAGGCAGCAGUGGGGAAUUUUGGACAAUGGGCGAAAGCCUGAUCCAGCCAUGCCGCGUGCAGGAUGAAGGCCUUCGGGUUGUAAACUGCUUUUGUACGGAACGAAAAGCCUCUUUCUAAUAAAGAGGGGUCAUGACGGUACCGUAAGAAUAAGCACCGGCUAACUACGUG